GCAACCAAGCUGUCAUAAGCCUA
rnacentral:miRNA from 1 species